GGUAGAUUUUAUAAUAACAUCCCCCCGAUUUCCGGGUUAACAUGAGUAUGUACGAUAUAUAGGAGGUCCUUCAGAUUAAGUAAAUAUAAAAAAUCCGUUGACGCAAUGUAAAUAUUUACAUCUAUUUUCAUUUUUCAUCACACUUUGGAAGUGCUGUCAAGUUUCAUCUUUUUGUAUUGCGGUUUUUAACUCUGCUAAUGGGAUUAACUAGAGCAGAGCCGCUCAAAAUUUUUCAUGCCUAUACUCGGAGUAUAGGCAAGCAAAUGCAGUCGAAGCAUGUACGCUAUGACGCUAAUUCUGCCAGCGUCAAAAAUGCACUCGAAAUACAGGAAUUCAGUUUCGAAUAAGCAUAUAGAGGACUUAAUGAGAAUCAAAACUUACGAUCCUGAAGUCGAUAUGGAAAAAAUCAUGGAAAGUUAAAAAAAAUUAACUUAAAUUAUUGUUGUUCUUAAUUGCUUUUUUAAUCAAAAACCAUAAUUUUUUAUUUUUUUUCUAAAUUUUUAAUAACAAAAUAACUAAAUAGCACGAUUUCACUCAGUGUACUAAGCAAGCGCGCGCACACAAUCAUACGCUAGCAGAUAUCAAAUGUGUGAUUGUAUGCGUUGGUAAAUAAAUUGCGCAUUAUUUUGAGCGGCUCUGAACUAGAGUGUCAAAAAUUGUCAACUGCUAACAAGCGGUUGUGUUUAAACAUUAAAAAAUGUAGCAAAAAUAUUUAUUUAUUUAUUAUUACUCACGCCAAUCGGCUAUAUACAAAGAAGUAUAAAAAAAGAAGGAAGAAGGCAUAUAAGUAUUUAAACGAGACUUAAUUGUGAACAUUGCACAAAUCAAUAUAUUGGUGUAUCAUUACUAGAUCAUUACUAAGAUUCUACUUAACUUUAAGCUCAUGUAACCAAACUCACACGAGUACAACCACGCAUACUAACGUAUUAACAUCAGGAGAGUUCAUUUUGACUAGGUUUGAUCACAAAUCACACAUUAAUGAUUCAUUAUUAACCCCUUAACCCUUGAGACGUAGCUCGCAUACGUACAACCAAACAUAUUAAUAUCUUAAUAAUAUCUAUUGACUAAGUUUACAAUCCAGCUUCUCGGUCCAUCCCGCACGUAGUUCUUCAAAGAGUUGACUGUUUUUAACAGACUGUGUGACCUCAACCCAGGCAUACGGCCUACAAGGCCGAGUUGUUCCAAAAUUUUCGGAGAGUCGAUUUAUCCAUUUAGUGAUUUAUAAGCAAACAAGAGAUCUGAUACUUGUCUCCGACUCAUCAGGUCACAAAUCCCAAAUUGACCACGAACCUCCUCCGAGCCUCCGACCCAUCCUUUACGUCCCAGGAAGUACGCGACAUAUUUACAGAGUUUCUUCUGCACUCUUCACUUUGUCAAUGAGACGGUCGGUAUGAGGAGACCAAACCAAUGAACAAUACUCCAACAUCGGACGCACCAAGGUCGAGUACAGCCUUACCUGCGUAUCAGCAUUCCUGAAGUCAUCCCCACAUCUGAAUAUGAACCCAAGAGUCCUGUAUGCCUGUGAUGUAAUUUUGUCAAUGUGCCCGGCGAAAUUUAGUGCAUCGUCAAUUAUGACACCAAGAUCUUUUAUUACUGUGACUUCUUCUAGGUGAUGAUCAGUGAUACGGUAAACAGCUAGACGACUCAAGGACCGUGACAAGAACAUCACCACGCACUUUUUUAAAUUUACACUCAAUUUUUUUUCGUCGCACCACUCAAGACUAUCAAGGUCUUGCUGCAAUGCACUAAUAUCAUCGACAGUGCUUAUCUUCCGAUGAUAUUUUGUGACCAAUGUCGGUGGCAAAUAUGCUAUAUCGAUCCAUCAUCUCUAUUAAGAGCUCAUGAUCCACCAUGUCGAAGGCUUUGCUGAAGUCCGUGUAGAGCUGUGGGCCAGAGAUCUGCAAUUAUUCUCUUUUUUGAGUCAUUGGUUGACCAAUGCAAAAAUUAGUCUUAGCGGGUAUAACUCAAAGAAAAAUAAUCACUCAUAUCCAUUAAUACACGUUUACGCUCAUACACAUAACUUGUGUAAGUAAAAAGACAAAUUCUCUCUUGGUGUGUACUGGUAGAGUACCUAGCUCUCUUAUUCAAUGAAUUGACUCAUAAUAUUAUACCGUUAUGACUAAAAACACAAAGAAGCACCAAUUAUUCAGCAGAAUGACUAAAGUCAUUUGAGUAUUUUUUUUUUGUUUUGUUUAUUUGAAUUUGCGAAUACAACAGCUGAAGUUAAAAGCAAAAAUAUGCGUUUUCUUUUCGUUUUAAUUUCUAAAUAACAAAAUGAGAUCACAUUCAUAAGUAAAUAAAAGAAAUCCAUAAGUAUUAAAAAAUAAAAUAAAAAUAUCCGUACAUAAAUAACACAUUCAUACAUACAUAUAUACAGACAAAUAUUUUAAAGUUUGUUGUUGAAAAUGGAAUUUAAAAAGAAAAUAUUAUCCACUGUGUUAGGGGCUAUUCUGUUCCGCUUUUCGGUAAUAAUAUUACCGGCUAGUGAAAAUACUCUCUCAGAUGCUGCGCUACUAGCAGGAAUGGCCAAUACUUUCCAUGCCAAAUUGGACAACCUAGGAUAUUGUUUAAUAUUGUUUUGCCACCACUGCAUUACAUCAAAGUUGUCAUGGAAUUCAACAUUUUCUUUCGAAUAUCGGUGUACUUCUUCUGUAAUAUUUUCAUCUCCUAAUGAAGAAGUACAUUGCAAAAGAUUUGGAAAAAAGAAGCUUUCUUUAUUGAUUGAGGAAGUCACUGUUGUUGAAGAUGUAGAAGUUGAAACUGAGUCGUUUAAUUGAAUAAUUUGUGUCGAUGGGUCUUCCGGUAGCAAAGCAAUGCAGAAAUUUUGAACUUCACUUAAGUGAUUUGCUUGGAGGCAUAAUGCUGGCGGAUAUAAAUAGUAUGCAACUUUGUGCCAUAUACUCAAAUUUGGGAGCCAAGUUUCUUCUAAGCCUUCCAAAACCUUCAAUUUUAAGUUUGAAAUUGCUUGAACAUCAUUCAUCGAAUUUACAAAGUUCUUUUAUUCGAUGAGUUACAGGUAUUACGUAGCAUAAGGAAGGGGUGGAACAACCCUGAAGUUUUUUAAAAAUGAUUUCAAAAUCUUGGCAAAGCUUAACCAAAGCUUGAAUAAUAUAUAUAUUUAAAUUUGUAAGCCUAUUAAUUUCUCCAUUAUUUGUUAAAAUUUCAUUAAUUUUCAACCAAUUGUCUGCUAUUGACUUUAGCAUAUAAAAAUGUGAGUUCCAUCGGGUUGGGCAAUAGCUUUUCAACGACAUUUGCAGCAUAUGUUGCAUACCCGAUUUUUUUUAAAUAUUUUACUAACUUUUUACAUGACAAAAUUAUGUCUUUGAGUUCAUCUGUAGAUUCAACGCUUGACUGUAAAAUGUUUGAAAAAAGGGACUUGAACAAUUAAGCCUAUCGUUAUUUUCUAAUGCCUUUUUUACAUUGCUUCCUCGAUCGGUGACGAAAAUAACGCUAUCUAAACUGUGGAUGCCAAAUUCACCAAACAGACUUCGUAGCUUGUUUUUAAUGUUAAUUCCAGUACAUUGCGAAAAGUCCAUAGACUUUAUGCCAAGUACAAUAUCAUAUAAUUUAAAGUUUUUUUGAAAGUGCAAUGUGGCACACAAAAAAUCUCGUUUAAUGUAGUUGUCUUUCCACAAAUCAAUUGUGGCAGAACAGUGAUCGGACUCUACAAUACUGCUUAAUUCACAUGAUAUCUCUUUUCUUUUCAUGUCCGCCUUUUUUUCUAUUUUGCGGGAAAUUGUUGUUGGGUCUGGGAGCAAAUCGUCUAUAUCUAUAUUUUUGCCAUAUUUCGUGCCAAUAGCUAUAAAAAAUUGUAUUAGAUUCCUAAAUCCGGAACCUUCUACGGUUGAAAAAGGACGACAGUCUGCAAUCAUCCAAUCCGCGCAAGUUUCUAAGGCUAGUUUUCUAUCGUCUUCACUAACUUUCUGUUUAGGCUGCUCUUUUGUAUGUAAAAUGUAACAUUUGUGUCUAUUGAGAUUCGAAGUCUGCAUGCCACGACAUUUAAACACUUUUUUGCAAUUUCGGCAACACACUAAACCAUUUAAAACACUUCCAUCGUCUUUUAUAAUUUCUGCAAACAUAUCCCAUAUAGCACUUCUACCCUUUCGUUUGUCAUUUAGUUUAUAAAAACCGUUAACAAUUUUCUCUACGACUGCUUCAGUAUCCAUAGUAAACUUUUAAACUAAAAGAAAUGAAAUACUUACAUACAUUUGUAUAUUUAAUAAAGAAAGUAUUCUACCAAACUAAGUUAGCAAAAUAAAACAACUUACAAUUAUUGAAAUAAUUCCACUUAAUUUUUUUUUCACAAGUAGCAAUGCGCAGAAUGAAUACACAAUAAAAAUAAACGAUAACUGCUCAGAAAGUUCAGUGGAAGCCAUAACACAAAUCAAUACUCAAACUCAUUGUACUUUUUUGCACUCUCACGACUCAGUGAGUCUAAUAAGAUUUUUACAGUUAGAACCAACUACGACACAAAUUGUCGCUCAUAUUUGUAUAUGAGUGCUGUGGGUAUUUCUAUGAUUUGAUUGGAAUGAGUAAUAGUAUUUUAUGAAUUAGCAUUGAUACACACUUGCACCAAUUGUUAUGGCUCAUGACUUAAGUAUACCAAUUUUAUUGGUACUCAAUGCAGAUCUCUGCUGUGGGCAAUGGUUCCCCAUUAUCAUUAACUUUCUCCGCAUAGAUGCUACCAAAGGACGCAAACAGAUUGUUCACUUCCCCACCCGCCGUAGCUACACUAUCUUUCCACGACACGGAGGAUGGAAUAUCCAUAUUCUUCCGUCCCUUGCUUUUGACGAAUUUCCAAAACUGACUCGAAUCCACCCGUACAAGCUCCUCCAUCCUGGACGUGUGUGCGCUGUAAUACCCUUUGUCGAUUCUUUUGCAUUCCGACCGCAACCGACGAAAAACGUUGUAGGCGUAACUGGUUUUAAAUCUCUUGUAUUUUGCAUUCGCAUCCUUUUUCUGCUGUAUUUUCCAUAUCAGCUCCCUAGAAAACCAGCAUGGAUAAUUGCUUUUCCUGUUAGUAUGGACAGGAACAAAUUGCACAAUUCCAUCGAGCGAGUAUAACCAGUUUAACUUGUCAUCCAGUGAUACUAACUUAUACAGUUCAAUCCAGUUACUCCUCAAAAGAAGUCAUUCAAUCCCACGUAGUCCGCUUUCUUGAAUGCAUAAGUGGGUGCCACGUUCAUUUUUAGGUUGGCCUUAAUCUCAGCACGUAUACUUAUAGCCGGUGGUGCUUAUCUUCAUCAAUAAUAGCCUCGGUACUGUCCACACAUACUUCAACGCUGCUAAAGCAUAAGUCAAGCGUACGAUCAUUUACAUAACGAAUUAGAUUAUACUGUUGACAGUUAGCCACACUCAUCUCACUGUAUACCAUAUUUGCACAUUAAUAUUGAGGACAGCUACUGGGGAGAUUAUAGUCGCCAACGAUAAUCAAUGCACAGUUGGGAUAUUUUUCCUUCAAAUACGAAAUUGUUGACAUAUGUAUCUUAUCCAACGACUACAGUGGCGGAAGAUACACACAUCCAACUAAUAGAUCGCCCUCAGUACAUUUUACUUGAAUAAAAACUUUCUCGACACUACUACAGGUUGGCAGUAGCUCAGCAUUAAUACUACGCUUCAUCGCAAUGAAAACACCUUCACCUCUCGUGCAAUUGCUUGUUUGGUUGUCUCUAUCUUUCCUAAAUAUUAAAUACGUAUCGUCUACCACUUCACUUUAUGAUACUGAUUCAUGAAGCCGUGACUCGCUAACACGCUGAUGCCCUGCUGAUGAGAUUAAGAACUCUUUUAAUUUUGUUCUUAACCCUCGAGUAUUUUGGUAGUAUAUAUGUAACAUGCAAAUCUUAAGCUUUUCUUUUGGCGCACGAAAAGUCUGCUUAUCGACUAUCCUCGGCACCCCAUUAAUGUAUCUAAUUGUCUUGCUAUUAUUUCCGCUCUUAGUUAGAUUAUCAAGCUCCGUACGUAGAUUCCUGAGAUGCUCUUGCUGAGCUCGAGUUAGGUUCGCCUUAAAUGAGAUGCCAGACUCACCAGCUGUCUUGAUACGCAAUAGACUCCUAGCAUCUGCUACAGACUCUGUAGUUAGUAAUAGCGGACGAAUCUUACCUACCACAUGACGACCGAGUCUACGGAGACCGAGUUUCGGACCAACCUCUGACAUCUGCUGUGGUAAUAAUGCGACAACCUUCUCCAAAUCAUCCAGACGUCGAUCAUAGCCUACCGGCUUCUCAGACUCCGGCACGUUCAAAGCAAUAACCUCUCUUUCUCGCUUAAUGCUUUCAUUUAUCUCCGAUAUUAUAAUGUUGGCAUCCACAUUAAGUGCAUCGAACGAUGUUAAUUUAUUCUCGACAGCGCCGACCCUCUUUGCUAAUUGCUUAUAAUGCUGCGAGAUUGCUCUGCCAACUUGUUCAAGUCCAGCCGAAUCCCUGCAACGCUGGUCUGAUUAUUUUCAAUUGUUUUCUUGAACGGUGCUAAAUAUCUAAAUAUUUCUUAAACAUUUUCUCCAAAUCCGAUUUGCUUGUUGAUAACGGUAAAUCAUUGUCGUCCUCAUCACUGUCAUUGACGGCCUCAAUAAUACUAACCUCUGAGUGACAACCAGAGCAUCGCCAGUCAAUACGACCAGUUUUCCGAAGCGCAGCAGCAAUUUUUUUUGAAACCAUCGUCACUCAAGUCGCUGCACUUCUUGUGGAACCAAUUCCUACAACUAUUACAGCUAAUAUUUUCUGCCGAAAGCCUAUGAUGCUAGUGCUGCGUACUAUAGUUUAUAUAAUAAUUUGUUUAUUAUGUAAGCUUUAAUAAAAAAAAAAUAAAAUAAAAAAAAAUAAAAUAAAAAAAAAAAUAAAAUAAAAAAAAAA